UGACGUCACGAGAGUAUGCCUAUGCUCUUUUCGCUCUAGCGUUAGCCUCUAGUGGCCUUGUUUCUCGAAGUUUUGGGUUCUUGGUCAAGUUACUACUUUGCUGAGUUGAAGUAAGUAUUAUGAAGUCUCUAUUAGCUCGAAUGACCUGCUGAAUGCUUGUUUGCUUGAUCACUGGAUCUCGUUGUGCUGUAAAACAUGGCGGCCUAUAGUUCUGACUUUAAACACCUUUUCUCCAAUCUGGGGCAGAGUUAUUUGUUUAUGGUCUGUUUUGUAAACGCCUUUUCUGGAAAACUAUGCUAUUUGAAGAGGUAUAAUUUUG